rnacentral:lncRNA from 1 species
GCGUUUCAGCCCCAUUCAGACAGCUAGGUGGCCUACCAAGCGUUGCCUGGGAGAAUUUUUUGUCGCUUGAAAAAAGGAGUCCAUUCAUUCUCUACAAUUUCUAUAGCAUAUCUUAAUUAAAAUGCCAAGAAGAUAUACCCUAAGAAUGGAGACCAGAGCACUGGGGGCUGUGCAAAUCAUGAAUGGCCUAAUUUACUGUGCAUUGGGGUUUCUUUGUUUUGCAUUAUUUAUCUCAGAAGAGGACAGGAAACAAACUGGUCAUAUCCCUGUUGUUGUUACACUAAUUUACAUAUUUUGGUCAGCACCAUUUUUCAUCAGCUCAGGAUCCACCAGUGUACACGCACAGAGGCGUCCUACAAAAUACAAGUUGGCUGGUAGUAUGCUUUUACAAUAUUUACUCUUCUGCACCAUCACAGAAGUGAUCUGUACAUGCAUCAUUAUCAGGUGGAUUGUAGCUGCAUUGUGUAACCCAGAAUACAGUGAAAAGAGUCCUUCACUCUCAGAAUCCACUGCCCCUACAUUAAUAUACAAAGAACCAGUGUGACUCCAGUCAAGAACAAAAGUACAAAGAACCAGUGUGACUCCAGUCAAGAACAAAAGUACAAAGAACCAGUGUGACUCCAGUCAAGAACAAAAGUACAAAGAACCAGUGUGACUCCAGUCAAGAACAAAAGAUUAACUGUGAAUUAGUGAAGAACUCAGUAACUUUUUUCAAGAGGCCCAUGGAAAAUACAUGCUAAUGAGGUCCUUUCUGGUAUAUCUUCUUCCUACUUCUUCAAUAAAGGAUGCAAUUUGAUCA